rnacentral:rRNA from 1 species
GACGUAGGGGGCCAGCGUUGCUCGGAAUUACUGGGCGUAAAGGGUUCGUAGGCGGUGUGGCAAGUCGGAAGUGAAAUCUCCAGGCUUAACUUGGAGGCUGCUUCCGAAACUGCCGUGCUAGAGUGCGGGAGAGGCCAGUGGAAUUGCAGGUGUAGCGGUGAAAUGCGUAGAUAUCUGCAGGAACACCCGUGGCGAAGGCGGCUGGCUGGACGGAUACUGACGCUGAUACGCGAAAGCGUGGGGAGCAAACAGG